rnacentral:ribozyme from 13 species
CAAAGUAAGAAAGGCUCACAUGAACUCUGGAACUCCUUUCUUCUUCUUCUUUUUUUUUUUUUUUUCCUUUUUAAUUUACUUUAUUGUAUUUUCGCUCAUCUUAGACGUAAAGGAUCGAGAAGGACUGGGCGCCCUGGAAAGUAAAG